UCACCUCCUCGGUCCCCUGAUUCUUCCUUUGACUCCAAUGACAGAGCUCAGCUUAAAGGCAAGGUCAAACGAGAAAGGGAGAGAAGCCCAUCAAAGAGGCCAGCCCCCCAUGGGGUGCCCCCCAAGGGCACAAAUCCACCACAGAGUAAGAGGGCCAAACCACAGCCUCCACACAACACUGUGAAAACCUCCACCAAGAGACAGACAUCCAGCAGCAACUCCAGCUCUUCUGCUCAGCGAUCCCACACCAAGUCUUACCACUCGUCCUCCACUGGCUCUCCAGAGAAGACACCAAAGGGCCAGCAGCAGGCUACCCAGAAGAAGCCCAGCCAGCCAUGUCUCGUCGCCACUCCACGCUAGUGUCAGCCCCGCCCCCCAUGGAGCUCGCACCGGCAGCAGCAAAUGCCAGCAUCACUUGGCCCUCACGUCCACCUCCGCCUCCGCCUCCACCUCCCAACAUAGCUACUACUCUUCAUCCUCCUGCUCUUCAUCCUCACCCUCUUCUUCGUCCCUGUCUCCCACCUCCUCCUCUUCCUCCCCUCCCUCUCCAUCCUCCUCCCUCCUCCCCACCAUGGUGAGCCAUGGGGCGAGGAAUGUCCGAGCAUCUGCAUCCAACCCUGGUUCUCCGGCCCGCAGCAAGAAGCGCACUGGAAGCCAAGCUGGCAGAGUCCUGCGUGCAGCAACGGCCUCAAAGGACACGGCGUGAUGGUUUGAUUUCCUGACCUACACUUUAAAAAAACAUGUUAGUGUCAGUGUGGA